rnacentral:rRNA from 1 species
AACGAACGCUGGCGGCAUGCCUAACACAUGCAAGUCGAGCGCCCGUAGCAAUACGGGAGCGGCGCACGGGUGAGUAACGCGUGGGAACCUGCCCAGAGGUCUGGGACAACCGCGGGAAACUGCGGCUGAUACCGGAUGAUUCCUGAGGGACAAAGAUUUAUCGCCUUUGGAGGGGCCCGCGUCGGAUUAGGUAGUUGGUGGGGUAACGGCUCACCAAGCCUAUGAUCCGUAACUGGUCUGAGAGGAUGACCAGUCACACUGGGACUGAGACACGGCCCAGACUCCUACGGGAGGCAGCAGUGGGGAGUAUUGGACAAUGGGGGGCAACCCUGAUCCAGCAAUGCCGCGUGGGUGAUGAAGGCCUUCGGGUUGUAAAG